GAGGGGAGGUAAACCAACGAGAACUGCUAAUUCUUGCCUCCGAGUAUAAAAACCUCGGUCCCCUUA
rnacentral:tRNA from 1 species